UUGUGGAGGAGGACGCCGAAGGUGGGGCUAAUGACUGGGGUGAAGUCGUAACAAGGUAGCCGUACCGGAAGGUGCGGCUGGAUCACCUCCUAACAGGGAGACAACAAAAUGUUUAAUAUUAUUAUUUUGUCACCUUAGGUCGAUCGGUAUCUCACAUUUUUAAUUUAUUAAGAAUUUCAUUUCCUAAGUUUUUCUAGGUCACACCCAUUAUUUUUCCUGGGCCAUUAGCUCAGGUGGUUAGAGCGCACCCCUGAUAAGGGUGAGGUCCCUGGUUCAAGUCCAGGAUGGCCCAUAUCUCUAUGUUGGGGGUAUAGCUCAGUUGGUAGAGCGCCUGCUUUGCAAGCAGGAUGUCAGCGGUUCGAGUCCGCUUACCUCCACUGAUCACCACCUCUUCCAUAACUGGUAGAAAGGAAAUUUUUUGAGUUGUGAUCAAAUCCUGAAAGAAUCUAGCUUCCUAAUGAAAUCAUUAAGAUGCUGGACUCAUUGAAUUAAUUUCAUUGUUUUCAGAGAACCUUGACAACUGCAUAGAUUAUUUUUAAAGACAAUAAGCAUCUUUAAUGAUGCAGAUUUAUUAUUUGUGCAAAUGCAUUAAUAACAAUUCUAUUAAGCUGAUGCUUCAAUAUUUGAAGUUAUUGGUCAAGCUACAA
rnacentral:misc_RNA from 1 species